UACAGAGGGGGCAAGCGUUGUUCGGAAUUACUGGGCGUAAAGGCUCGUAGGUGGCCAACUAAGUCAGACGUGAAAUCCCUCGGCUUAACCGGGGAACUGCGUCUGAUACUGGAUGGCUUGAGUUCGGGAGAGGGAUGCGGAAUUCCAGGUGUAGCGGUGAAAUGCGUAGAUAUCUGGAGGAACACCGGUGGCGAAGGCGGCAUCCUGGACCGAUACUGACGCUGAGGAGCGAAGGCCAGGGGAGCAAACGGG
rnacentral:rRNA from 1 species